AAAUGGAGAUUUUCCACAGCAGGUAACUUUGCGAUAUUUGAUGUGUUUGGUUUGAUUUGUGUUGCUACUUGAGCUGGUGAUGGAAAUUUUGAUACCAUUGAUUUGUUAAGAGUCAGCUUCUCAAGAUUUUGAUCCUAGUCAACUUUUUAAUAUUAUGUUUUACGCAAGAAAGAAGUCAAGUAAGAAAAAUCCAUCCUCACAUGACCAUAAUUGAUUGGAGGAUAGAAUUGCCACCAUUCAAUGAGCUUAGGUACUGAACUUAUCAAAAUUAAAAGUGAGGGCCUAAAAAAAAAGGGACGAUGGAGUAUGAAAUUAAAUUGGUAAUUAGGCCUUUUAAUAUUAUAAAAUCUUGUUAAUUAGAAAAAGGUCAAAAUUAAUAAACAAAGUUUGCUAAAAUGAAAAAGAUUAAAUAAUUUAACUUUGUGCAUGGUCAAUAGCAUAUAGCAUAUAUAUUAAUUUGUAUUUCAUUUGUUCUAAAAAUAGGAAUUUAGGGUUUAAUUGAAAUAAGUAAAUUAUGAGGCGUUUGUUUACACAUAUUAUAUUUUACAUUAUCGUUUAUCCUAGUUUACCCAUGAUCUCUA
rnacentral:misc_RNA from 1 species